rnacentral:rRNA from 1 species
AUACGUAGGGUGCAAGCGUUAAUCGGAAUUACUGGGCGUAAAGCGUGCGCAGGCGGAUUUGGAAGACAGAGGGGAAAUCCCCGGGCUUAACCUGGGGACUUCCUUUGGGGCUGCUACGUUAUGGUAAGGCAUGAGGGGAUGUGAUUCUGGGUGAAGCCGGGGAUUUCGUAGAAAUGCGGAGGAACAACGAUGGCGGAGGCAAUCCACUGGGCAUGUACUGACGCUCAUGCACGAAAGCGUGGGGAGCAAACAGGAUUAGAUACCCUGGUAGUCCACGCCCUAAACGAUGGCAACUGGUUGUUGGGUCUUCAUUGACUCAGUAACGAAGCUAACGCGUGAAGUUGACUGUCUGGGGAGUACGGCCGCAAGGUUGAAACUCAAAUGAAUUGACGGGG